UGAGAAUCUUCUCCUUGUGAGAGCUCCCUAGAUUGAUUUCAAACAACAGUGCUCACCAGGAGCGCAAGCUGAAUUCUAAAUAAUGACAUCAAGACUUUGAGUAGCAGAGGGAGCUGUCAUGGAAUGGCCAACAAAAAGAAAAAAGAACACCAUUACGAGAGAGAAGGCUUAAUGGAAUUUUUGAAAGCGUAGAUGAAACCACUCUAGAUUGCUCUAGAUUGCUCUGAUUUGGUAUGUGAGUGAACACCGGACAGGAGACUGAGCAGGGCUUAUGCAUGGACACUGCUGGACACUGCUGCAUCUGUUCCAUCCAUGAGAUCAGACAAACCAUCUAAAAGAUUUAUCUGUUUCCUUGUGAGUGAGUCAGUUUGCUCCUGCUUUCAUCAUCUCAUGUGGUCAGAAGACAACACAUCACAGAAGGUCAGGAAUGGAAAGUUAGGCAUCACAGAGAUGAGACCCCAUGAUCAUGAUCGUGUGCUGCUCACUUUCCCCUCUGGAGCCAAUUUGCAUGAACCCAGUGUUCCAACUAGGGUGGCUGAGCAGAUGGUGAAAGUUGUGAGAUGGGAGGCACACAUUGAAGCUUGGACUCUUGACAACUUUGAGGAACAGAGCUCCAAUAUCAGCUUGGAUUUCACAGGAAUGAAAUACAUGUUUAGAUGUUUAAACCACUUUUGGGGGGGGCUCUGUGUUAUAACACAUAAAUAUAAGCAAGAUAUCAGGGGCUACUCAGCUUUUGGAAAAAUCAUAAUCUAACCUCAAUUUCCCUAGAAAAAUCUUUUUUUCCCCCUCCUUGAAUUGGCCCUUUCAUGUUCCUUUUACUAGUUGUAGCUAUUAUCCCUUCUUUUUUGCCAGCUGUACCCUCAGAAUGCUCAUACCCUCAGUUGUCCCCAUUGAGAAUGCCCUUCUUCCAACUCUCUGUACAUUUCAGUUCCCUGAACUCUACUGCUUUUGGUGUGUGGCUGAGACUGAGCCCACAUGUAUUGAGGAAAUGAGGACUAAGCUGAGACUCAGGCAAGCUCUAGAGAUGAUACUGAGCAGGACAGGGGAUAAAAGCCAACUGUCAGAUGAAGUUGAGAAUCAAAUAUUUGUUUACAAGGAGGAGCCAGGGAACAGGAAGAAAUGGAGGUCAAUACAGAACUGGACUCAAAAGCCAGGCAGAUACAUAAAAACAGAGAUAAAGGAGAGUGUGGAAGUUAAAUGCAGCAGGGUUGGUGAAAGUAAAGUGUGCAAUCCGGAGAGGGAAAACAGAUGCAACAGAAAAAAAUGAAGAACACUUUGGGACUAAGAGGAAAUUCCCUCACACGGAAAACACCUCAGAGUUUGCCUUUUGUAGCAGGAACCCAUUGCUGACUGACACCGAGACCCACCUAGAGCUCAACAUAGCAGCUCACAGAUCCUGACCUGGCCUCUUGGAACUGCCUACGUGAACACAUCACAGCCUCCCUCCUCCAAAGGACACUACCAUGCUGUGGACCGUCCCACGCACUGAGUCCCUCAACCUCCCUUCCAGUCUGUUGUUCCUUUCUCCACGAGUUAGAGAGAACUCUGUAGUGGUGGGCUGAAGGUGUGUCCCAGGCAUUUCUGGAACUUUUUGCACUCCCUCAUCCCUGAUGUUAUCUGUGCAGAGCAGCAGACAAUUGGACCAGUGAUUUCCCUCCAGAAGAGCCCUUAAUGGUUGAUUAUUCCCGAUGGCUGCUGCACAUCAGCCAGCUCUGGCUUUCUGGUCUCGCAAAAGAUCC
ensembl:lncRNA